rnacentral:lncRNA from 1 species
CCAUGCCGCGCUGCGCAACGGGGGCUGACGCGGGGACAGCCCCUGCUGGCUGGCUAUCUUACCCGCGGGGGGCUGCCUUCGGGCCUUGGCCCCCUGCGCUCUUGCCUGCCCCCGCGCGGGAGAGGCUACGCACACGCUGGGCGGCAGCGAUGCCAGCAGUGGGAAAAAUCGGCAGCGCGGUAAAUUCCGCUGGAGGCCCGUCGCGGAAAAUCGGCAGCGCAGAUUUGUUGACGAACAACAAAUCUGGACGCUGGGCUGGCCAGGCCAGGCAGGAAAAUUCGUCUAGGGGGUAGGCUCACGGCAACGCGGGGGGGCUUGCAGCGCAGCGGACCCGCAACAGCCCCCGCUGGCUUGCUAUCUUGCGCGCGGGGGGGCUGCCUUCGGGCCCGGGGCAGCGGCAGCGAUGCCACCAGGGGAAAAAUCGGCAGCGCGGACAGCCCCCGCUGGCUUGCUAUCUUGCCCGCGGGGGGGCUGCCUUCGGGCCCGGGGCAGCGGCAGCGAUGCCACCAGGGGAAAAAUCGGCAGCGCGGACAGCCCCCGCUGGCUUGCUAUCUUGCCCGCGGGGGGGCUGCCUCUCGGGCCCGGGCAGCGGCAGCGAUGCCACCAGGGGGAAAAAUCGGCAGCGCGGACAGCCCCCGCUGGCUUGCUAUCUUGCCCGCGGGGGGGCUGCCAUCGGGCCCGGGGCAGCGGCAGCGAUGCCAGCAGGGGGAAAAAUCGGCAGCGCGGACAGCCCCCGCUGGCUUGCUAUCUUGCCCGCGGGGGGGCUGCCUUCGGGCCCGGGGCAGCGGCAGCGAUGCCAGCAGGGGGAAAAAUCGGCAGCGCGGACAGCCCCCGCUGGCUUGCUAUCUUGCCCGCGGGGGGCUGCCUUCGGGCCCGGGGCAGCGGCAGCGAUGCCAGCAGGGGAAAAAUCGGCAGCGCGGACAGCCCCCGCUGGCUUGCUAUCUUGCCCGCGGGGGGGCUGCCUUCGGGCCCGGGGCAGCGGCAGCGAUGCCAGCAGUGGGAAAAAUCGGCAGCGCGGACAGCCCCCGCUGGCUUGCUAUCUUGCCCGCGGGGGGGCUGCCUUCGGGCCCGGGCAGCGGCAGCGAUGCCACCAGCGGGCAGCAUCGGCAGCGCGGACAGCCCCCGCUGGCUUGCUAUCUUGCCCGCGGGGGGGCUGCCUUCGGGCCCGGGGCAGCGGCAGCGAUGCCACCAGGGGGAAAAAUCGGCAGCGCGGACAGCCCCCGCUGGCUUGCUAUCUUGCCCGCGGGGGGGCUGCCUUCGGGCCCGGGCAGCGGCAGCGAUGCCACCAGGGGAAAAAUCGGCAGCGCGGACAGCCCCCGCUGGCUUGCUAUCUUGCCCGCGGGGGGCUGCCUUCGCUCUGAUUUGCCAGCGCUCGUGCCAACCAAUAGGCAGCCCCAACGCGCCCAACGGCUUGGCGCGACGUUCACGAUUCCGGCCACCGUCCCGGGACCCGCUCCAAGCCGUUGGGCGCGUUGGGCUGCUUAUCCGCGGCGUGGGCGUGGGGCCUUAACAAGCCGCGCUCGUUCCAAGGUGCUGGCAGCUGACGCGCGCCUCUCAGCUUGCCGCGACGUCCCGGUGGCGGUGGCCGGAAUCCCUGCCCGUCACCCGCUCCAAGCCGUUGGGCGCGUUGGGGCUGCUUAUCCGCGGUCUUGGGUGUGGGCCUUAACAGGAUUCCCCUCGUGCCAAGGUGCUGGCGGCCCCAACGCGCCCAACGGCUUGGCGCUACGUAACGGCGACGUCCCGAUUCGGCCACCGCUGCCGUGCCCGCUCCAAGCCGUUGGGCGCGUUGGGGCUGCUUAUCCGCGUCUCGGGUGUGGGGCCUUAACUGGAUUCCCCUCGUGCCAGGUGCUGGCAGCCCCAACGCGCCCAACGGCUUGGCGCGACGUCACGGUAGCGGUGGCCGCUGCCUGUUGCUCGCAAGCUGGAGGCCUUGGCCGACGUGUCUGGUGCGGACCGCCGAGCUUGGGGAUUGCGAGGAGAGCUGUACCGCGUGGGGUGCCGCAUUCAGUUGCCGCGCUCGUGCCAACGUGCUGGCUCUCCUCGCCAUCCCCAAGUCCUGCGCGAUGUGCCCGAUGCCGAGGCCUGGCCUUCGUCUUCCGAGCUGAGGCAGAUGGCCCCCCGAAUGAUUGUCCCUGUUGCUCCCCCCGCGGCCUGUCCCUUCGAGAUCCGCCGCGUUCCCCCGCGGCUUGUUGCUUGUCCCUUCGAGAUCGCGCGUCCCCCAGCGGCGUGUUGCUUGUCCCUUCGAGAUCCUUUCGGUCCAGCGGUGCGGGCACGAUCUCUCUCGGGUGUUUCCACUUGCCCUCGUGGCCGUGGUUCGCUCGUCGGGAUUGUUGUCGCGUGUACGCAGAGUCGCAUGAGCGGUAAUUGGGCUGUCCGUGUCGGCAGGCUCCGUGCUUGUGCACCGAACUGUCGGCCUGCUGCCCCCAUCACUCUCAGCGCAAGGCACUGGGUGCCUUGCGGCGAGGCGGGGUUCCAGUGCUGCGUACCCACUUCGGUGGAA